UGCAUCGGCCGGGAAUUGAACCCGGGCCGCCCGCAAGCAUUCUACCACUGAACCACCGAUGG
rnacentral:tRNA from 1 species